rnacentral:tRNA from 1 species
AUAUAUAUAGUUUAUAAAAACAUUACAUUUUCAUUGUAAAAAUAAAAAAUUAUUUUUUUUAUAUAUA